rnacentral:rRNA from 1 species
AACGAACGCUGGCGGCAGGCUUAACACAUGCAAGUCGAGCGCCCCGCAAGGGGAGCGGCAGACGGGUGAGUAACGCGUGGGAAUCUACCCAUCUCUACGGAAUAACGCAUGGAAACGUGUGCUAAUACCGUAUACGUCCUUCGGGAGAAAGAUUUAUCGGCGAUGGAUGAGCCCGCGUUGGAUUAGCUAGUUGGUGGGGUAAAGGCCUACCAAGGCGACGAUCCAUAGCUGGUCUGAGAGGAGGCUCAGCCACACUGGGAAUGAGACACGGACUAGCAUCCUACGGGAGGCGGCAGUGGGGAAUAAUGGACGAGGGGCGCAAGUCUGAUCCGGCCAUGCCGCGUGAGUGAUGAAGGCCCUAGAGUUGUAAAGCGCUUUGACCGGUGAAGUUACUGACGGUAACCGGAGAAGAAGCGCCGGCUAACUUCGUGCCAGCCGCCGCGGUAACAC